GAUGAACGCUGGCGGCGUGCCUAAUACAUGCAAGUCGAGCGAACAGACGAGAGUGCUUGCACUCUCUGACGUUAGCGGCGGACGGGUGAGUAACACGUGGGUAACCUACCUAUAAGACUGGGAUAACUUCGGGAAACCGGAGCUAAUACCGGAUAAUAUUUAGCUUCGCAUGAAGCAAUAGUGAAAGACGGUUCUGCUGUCACUUACAGAUGGACCCGCGGUGUAUUAGCUAGUUGGUGAGGUAACGGCUCACCAAGGCAACGAUACAUAGCCGACCUGAGAGGGUGAUCGGCCACACUGGGACUGAGACACGGCCCAGACUCCUACGGGAGGCAGCAGUAGGGAAUCUUCCGCAAUGGACGAAAGUCUGACGGAGCAAUGCCGCGUGAGUGAAGAAGGUUUUCGGAUCGUAAAACUCUGUUGUAAGGGAAGAACAAGUACGUUAGUAACUGAACGUACCUUGACGGUACCUUACCAGAAAGCCACGGCUAACUACGUG
rnacentral:rRNA from 1 species